ensembl:lncRNA
GCGGAUGUGUUGAGACUGCACGAGAAUGACUUUAUUUUGGUCUGUAAUGAGCUUGCUCUCUUUUCUAAAACUUAUCUCUGGGCGGUGAACAGAAGACCGCGCGCUCCCGUUAAGCCCUUCGUGCCCCGGUGGACAACUCUGAGGACGUUUGGCAGCACAAUAUGAAGAUUGCUGUUGUUUGUGCUUCCUACGCUGAAGAUCCUGUAGAUGUCUCUCUUAUUCUUGACGGCAAGGAGGUUGUGACUGGAUGUGGAAAUACUGCAAAGCCAUGUACACUGCUAAUGGGUCUGAUAUAUUCCCUCAAUCUUGCUUAUCCUCCAACACCGUGUUACACUUUUGAAGUGUUCCAGAAGCUUUUCUUAGAUUUAGACGCAAUAAAGCUAUCCCCCAAAGUACAAACUCUGAAAAUGAAGUUGCUGUCCAAAACUUAAAAGAUGACAUUUUAUUCAGCUUUAUUCAGCUUGGUAUGCCAUUGCCAUUAUAGCAGUUUAUGCUAUAAAGUUGUAUUGUUAUUGUGUAGCUCUUGCACAUGCUUCAAAGUCAUUAAUUGUUCAUUAAUGUUAAUACAGUUGCAAAACCUCUGCAGCCAUUUCUCAGAGCUGUGCCUUCAGAAAGGACUUUAAGUUUAUAAUAGUAUGACAACAAGAAUUGCUGAUUUGUUGUUAAUUUUUUUUUUCCAAGUGUAAAACCUGGACAAAAAAGGCUGUCAAUAAUACAAAGUUGUUAAAUAUUGUCAUUUGUAUGUUAUUGAUUUUUCAUAUUUUCUGUAUACACUUUAACAAAACUAGUAGUUAUUACUCAAAUGUAGUGCUUAAAAAUUAUUUUGUAAUAAGAAUAAAUAUAGUGAUA